rnacentral:rRNA from 1 species
GUAAUGCGUAGGAAGCUGCCCGAUAGAGGGGGAUGCCAGUUGGAAACGACUGUUAAUACCGCAUAAUGUCUACGGACCAAAGUGUGGGACCUUCGGGCCACAUGCUAUCGGAUGCGCCUACGUGGGAUUAGCUAGUUGGUGAGGUAAUGGCUCACCAAGGCGACGAUCUCUAGCUGGUUUGAGAGGAUGAUCAGCCACACUGGAACUGAGACACGGUCCAGACUCCUACGGGAGGCAGCAGUGGGGAAUAUUGGACAAUGGGCGCAAGCCUGAUCCAGCCAUGCCGCGUGUGUGAAGAAGGCCUUCGGGUUGUAAAGCACUUUCAGCGAGGAGGAAGGGGUUGUAGUUAAUAGCUGCAACCUUUGACGUUACUCGCAGAAGAAGCACCGGCUAACUCUGUGCCAGCAGCCGCGGUAAUACAGAGGGUGCAAGCGUUAAUCGGAAUUACUGGGCGUAAAGCGCACGCAGGCGGUUGGUUAAGUCAGAUGUGAAAGCCCCGGGCUCAACCUGGGAAUUGCAUUUGAAACUGGCCAACUAGAGUAUGUGAGAGGGGGGUAGAAUUCCAAGUGUAGCGGUGAAAUGCGUAGAGAUUUGGAGGAAUACCAGUGGCGAAGGCGGCCCCCUGGCACAAUACUGACGCUCAGGUG